GAGUGUGAGGGUGAUCUGGCUGCGACAACUGUCACCCCAUUGGUGGCCAGUGUUAAUUCAGCUGAUCUGGCUGGCUAGGUGGGUGUCCCUUUCCUUGCUCACCGCUCCAAGUGCAUUCUUCCCAAAGGUGCGCACUUGGUCAAAGAGGACGACCAUUCCCUGACAGAGGAGGACUGGGGUUUGGUCAAGGAUAUAUGAUUAGCUGUGCUCUGCUGCUAGAACCUCCAAACAAGCUCUCAAGGCCCAUUAGAUAUAUAGUAUUUAAGAAAUGCAGUGCAGUUAACAACUAUUCCACU
rnacentral:snRNA from 1 species